rnacentral:rRNA from 1 species
GUGUCAGCAGCCGCGGUAAUACAGAGGUCUCAAGCGUUGUUCGGAUUCAUUGGGCGUAAAGGGUGCGUAGGUGGCGCCGUCAGUCAGGUGUGAAAUUUCGGAGCUCAACUCCGAAACUGCAUUUGAUACUGCGGUGCUAGAGGACUGGAGAGGAGACUGGAAUUCACGGUGUAGCAGUGAAAUGCGUAGAUAUCGUGAGGAAGACCAGUGGCGAAGGCGGGUCUCUGGACAGUUCCUGACACUGAGGCACGAAGGCCAGGGGAGCAAACGGGAUUAGAUACCCUUGUAGUCC